rnacentral:rRNA from 1 species
GACGAACGCUGGCGGCGUGCUUAACACAUGCACGUCGAACGGUAAGGCCCUUCGGGGUACACGAGUGGCGAACGGGUGAGUAACACGUGGGUGAUCUGCCCUGCACUUCGGGAUAAGCCUGGGAAACUGGGUCUAAUACCGGAUAGGACCACUGCCUGCAUGGGUGGUGGUGGAAAGCUUUUGCGGUGUGGGAUGGGCCCGCGGCCUAUCAGCUUUCUGGUGGGGUGAUGGCCUACCAAGGCGACGACGGGUAGCCGGCCUGAGAGGGUGACCGGCCACACGGGGACUGAGGUACGGCCCAGACUCCUUCGGGAGGCAGCAGUGGGGAAGAUUGCACAAUGGGCGCAAGCCUGAUGCAGCAACGCCGCUUGAGGGAUGACGGCCUUCUGGUUGUAAACCUCUUUCAGCACCGACGAAGCGCAAGUGACGGUAGGUGCAGAAGAAGGACCGGCCAACUACGUGCCAGCCGCCGCGGUAA